ACUUAAGAAAAGAAUUUUAGUUCAGCCUAAAGCUUCUUCAGCUCCUCAAAGCAACCCUUAAACUUUAGAGCAAUUCAAAUAAGGUACAGCUUAUUUGAACAAGGACACAACCUAAUCUAACGGGUAACUAACCAUACACAGCCCAGUUGGCCUAAAAGCAGCCAUCAUCUAAAAGCGUCAAAGCCUAACACAACCCCUACACACCAAUUCCUUCACCCCCCUCCAACCCUUAACCCAUAUUAAGUACUUCUAUGCCUCCAUAGAAAUUUUUAUGUUAAAACUAGUAACAUGAAACCACCUUCUCCUAAUGCAAACAUAAAUCAGACAGAAACCCGCACUGAUAAUUAACAACCCAAAACAGCAACCUCACAAGAAAACCCUGCCUCAACCCUCGUUAACCUAACACAAGAGCAUUUCAAGAAGAUUAAAAGAAAGAGAAGGAACUCGGCAAAUAAUGAUCUCGCCUGUUUACCAAAAACAUCGCCUCUUGCACCCAUAAGAGGUCCAGCCUGCCCAGUGACUCUGUUCAACGGCCGCGGUACUCUGACCGCGCGAAGGUAGCGUAAUCACUUGUUUUUUAAAUGAAGACUAGUAUGAAAGGCAUCACGAAAAUCAAACUGUCUCCUCUUUCCAAUCAGUGAAACUAAUCUCCCCGUGAAGAAGCGGGGAUUUCCAUAUAAGACGAGAAGACCCUACGGAGCUUUAAACUACUGGCACUUGCCCAUACCUUAACCUCACACGAAACUCACCCAAGCAUCUCUGCCCACAAGUUUUAGGUUGGGGCGACCACGGAGAAUAAACAACCCUCCAUGCUGACACAGAACUAUUUCUAAGUGAAAACCCACAGGUUUUCAAAUCAACAUAUUGACACUUAUUGACCCAGUAAUCUGAUCAACGAACCAAGUUACCCUAGGGAUAACAGCGCAAUCUACUUUGAGAGCCCAUAUCGACAAGUAGGCUUACGACCUCGAUGUUGGAUCAGGAUAUCCCAGUGGUGCAGCAGCUACUAAAGGUUCGUUUGUUCAACGAUUAAAACCCUACGUGAUCUGAGU
rnacentral:rRNA from 1 species